CCCCUCUAGUGCCGCAGCUAACGCAUUAAGUAUCCCGCCUGGGGAGUACGACCGCAAGGUUGAAACUCAAAGGAAUUGACGGGGGAGCGCACAACCGGAGGAGUAUGUGGUUUAAUUCGAUACAAAGCGAAAAACCUUACCUGGGUUUGACAUGUAACUGCACGGUCUAGGAAACUAGAUCUUCUUCGAGAGUGUUACACAGGUGUUGCAUGGCUGUCGUCAGCUCGUGUCGUGAGGCGUCCACUUAAGUGUGGUAACGAGCGCAACCCUUAUCCCGUGUUACAAGUGUCACGGGAGACUGCCUUGCUUUUUGCAGGGAGGAAGGAGAGGACGACGUCAAGUCAGCAUGACCCUUACAUCCAGGGCUACACACAUCCUACAAUGGAGCCGACAACGGGUAGCGAAGCCGCAAGGCGGAGCCAAUCCUUUAAACGGCCCCUCAGUUCAGAUUGUUCUCUGCAAUUCGAGAGCAUGAAGUCGGAAUCGGUAGUAAUCGCAAAUCAGCAGGUUGCGGUGAAUACGUUCUCGCUCCUUGUACACACCGCCCGUCAAACCAGCAAAGUUAGUAGCGCCCGAAGCGGGUGACCGUAACUCGCAAGAGAACGGCCCUUCUACGGCGAGAUUAGCGAUGAGGGUUAAGUCGUAACAAGGUAUCGGUACUGGAAGGUGCCGAUGGAUCACCUCCUUUCUAAGGAGA
rnacentral:rRNA from 1 species